AACCCGGGUGAAAGCCUGGGGUGCCCCGCGAGGGGGAGCCCUAGCACAGGUGCUGCAUGGCCGUCGUCAGCUCGUGCCGUGAGGUGUUGGGUUAAGUCCCCGCAACGAGCGCAACCCCCGCCGUUAGUUGCCAGCGGUUCGGCCGGGCACGUCUAACGGGACUGCCCGCGAAAAGCGGGAGGAAGGAGGGGACGACGUCUGGUCAGCAUGGCCCUUACGGCCUGGGCGACACACGUGCUACAAUGCCCACUACAAAGCGAUGCCACCCGGCAACGGGGAGCUAAUCGCAAAAAGGUGGGCCCAGUUCGGAUUGGGGUCUGCAACCCGACCCCAUGAAGCCGGAAUCGCUAGUAAUCGCGGAUCAGCCAUGCCGCGGUGAAUACGUUCCCGGGCCUU
rnacentral:rRNA from 1 species